UUCGUAGAUGGAUGAAGAAAUGUUGAAUUGAGCGUGUGCUCCAGUUACUCAGUUAGAUUGUUUCGAAAAUGGCUGCUGCGCUUGCUAGCUCCGACAAUCGAGCACCGGUAGGUAAGCAUUGUAGAGUAAAGGAGUCGAAUUUUGUCGAACUGAAGUCGAGGAUGUUUACUUGUUGCAUUUUAUUAUUAUUAUUUUGGAGAUCCAAGGCCUAACAGGAAUGAAAGAUCAAAUUUGAGUUGAAUAAAUAAUAACAAUAAAGCUUGAAUUUGAUCUGAACAAGUUUUAUUGUCGUGUUGGCAUAGCCGAUUUUGGCGUGCUUUGAUGCUUUGGAAUGUGAUAAUGUGGCCGGGACCAGUAUGACUUGAUUUUGAAGAUGAAGCAUUUGUUGAUGAUGAGGAUCAAGUGUUGGAUGUGCUUCUAAAUUCAAUCCAGUGCCAGACUGUCCACAAUGAUACCCGCCCUAUGUUGCCUGAUGACAAGGAGCCUCAAGCACAUUUUGUUGGAGAUUGUAAAACUUGUGCACUUUUUUCUUGUUUAAAUCACAGAUUCCAUGGAACGCGUCAUUCUUGGACAGAGUUCAUAUUUUUCAAUGAACUUAUUCCAAAUUUCCAAGUAAAUCUGACAUAAUGACUGGGAUUUUUGAACAUAUUUUCAGUAUUUGAACUUUUGAAGUGACACUGCUUGUGCAAGAAACUCCUCAAGUUUUGAUGUCAGGGUCAUGAAUAUUUGUACAUGUGUGGACCUUCUUAUCAGAUUUACCCGAGCAGGCUAUAUAUAUGAUCAAGCCCCACUUGUCA